GACGAACGCUGGCGGCGUGCCUAAUACAUGCAAGUUGAGCGCUCAGACUAGGUGCUUGUUCCUCCUGCGUUAGCAGCGGACGGGUGAGUAACACGUGGAGAACCUACCUUUAAGCCUGGGAUAACUUUGGGAAACCGGUGCUAAUACCGCAUAAUAUCUUUAACCACAUGUUUUAAUAUUGAAAGAUGCUAUUACUUUACUCAAUGAUUAUCUCGCGUGGUAUUAGCUAGUUGGUUAGGUAAAGGCUUACCAAGGCCACGAUGCAUAGCCGACCUGAGAGGGUGAUCGGCCACACUGGAACUGAGACACGGUCCAGACUCCUACGGGAGGCAGCAGUAGGGAAUCUUCCGCAAUGGGCGAAAGCCUGACGGAGCAACGCCGCGUGAGUGAUGAAGGUCUUCGGAUCGUAAAACUCUGUUAUUAGGGAAGAACAAAUGUGUAAGUAACUAUGCAAGUAUUGACGGUAACUAAUCAGAAAGCCAAGGCUAAAUACGGG
rnacentral:rRNA from 1 species